GAUGAACGCUGGCGGCGUGCCUAAUACAUGCAAGUCGAGCGAACAGAUAAGGAGCUUGCUCCUUUGACGUUAGCGGCGGACGGGUGAGUAACACGUGGAUAACCUACCUAUAAGACUGGGAUAACUUCGGGAAACCGGAGCUAAUACCGGAUAAUAUGUUGAACCGCAUGGUUCUAAAGUGAAAGAUGGUUUUGCUGUCACUUAUAGAUGGAUCCGCGCCGCAUUAGCUAGUUGGUAAGGUAACGGCUUACCAAGGCGACGAUCCGUAGCCGACCUGAGAGGGUGAUCGGCCACACUGGAACUGAGACACGGUCCAGACUCCUACGGGAGGCAGCAGUAGGGAAUCUUCCGCAAUGGGCGAAAGCCUGACGGAGCAACGCCGCGUGAGUGAUGAAGGGCUUCGGAUCGUAAAACUCUGUUAUUAGGGAAGAACAAAUGUGUAAGUAACUAUGCACGUCUUGACGGUACCUAAUCAGAAAGCCACGGCUAACUACGUG
rnacentral:rRNA from 1 species